rnacentral:rRNA from 1 species
UACGUAGGGUGCGAGCGUUAAUCGGAAUACUGGGCGUAAAGCGUGCGCAGGCGGUGAUGUAAGACAGAUGUGAAAUCCCCGGGCUCAACCUGGGAACUGCAUUUGUGACUGCAUCGCUGGAGUGCGGCAGAGGGGGAUGGAAUUCCGCGUGUAGCAGUGAAAUGCGUAGAUAUGCGGAGGAACACCGAUGGCGAAGGCAAUCCCCUGGGCCUGCACUGACGCUCAUGCACGAAAGCGUGGGGAGCAAACAGGG